CCCAUGGACUGUAGCCUGCCAGGUUCCUCUCAUGAAAUUUUCCAGGCAAGGAUACUGGAGUGGGUUGCCAUUUCCUCCUCCAGAGGAUUGAACUUGGGUCUCCUGUGUUGCAGUAUUGACAGGGAAACUAGAUGAAGACCUACAGAUAAGAAGCCGAGACACCAGCAGAGCUUUCGGCAACUGCAUAGUUCAGCAAGACAAAAACUGGAUGUGGAACAGUGAAGAUCCUGAAGAAAAGAGAGGCAGGGAGAUGAGAGCCCUGGCCUUGAAAGGGUUUCUCCUCAAAGCAUUUGCACAGAGAUGGAGACUAAGAAAACACAUUGGAAGUCACUGCAAAGGAGAACAGACUUCUAAGGAGUCUUACCAAAGUUAGGUUUUGCAGAAGUCUGACACAAGAUGAACGAGCUGAAACCAGGUGUUGGAAGGGCUGGAUUCCUUGCAGGAAGCUCUAAGAAAGAAUCUCUUUACUCGUCUCUUGAGGAUAUCCAUAUUUCAUACUUUAUCUCUUGGCUCCUGGACCACUUCCUUCAUCUUAAACGGAGAAAAGCCAGCCUCAGCUGGGUCCUUCUCACAGAUUCUUCUCAUGACAACAUUGAGUUCACCUGGAUGAUCUAGAAUCUUCUUCCUAGAUUAAGAUCAGCUGCCUAGCAACCACAAUUCCACAUGCUAAUCAAUUCUCCUUUACCAAGCAGUGUAGCCUUCACAGGUUCUAGGUGUUAGGAUGUUAACAGUUUGGGGGGGGGGCAUUAUUCUGCCCACCUUGUCCUGCUACCUGGCAAUGGAAGUCUGCACUGCUGCUCCACAGAACAGCAUUCCAGGGUCUCACAUACUGAAGGUGAAGAGCAGACAUCAGAGUAUAUAAUUUCUGGUUUUGUUUAUGUAAGAACAAGACUAUGGAGGAAACUACUCACUGCCUCCGUUGGAUGCCAAGCACCGGAAGUUCAAUGUGAGGGGCACUGUGCCUGGUGCUGACUGCACUUCUGUGCCAGGAAACCAGCCUUGCAAUGGCUGGGAACGUGAUGCUGUCCCUGCUCCCGCCUCCUGCAUGUAGCUGCUCCUGGCCCUCCUGUCUGAGUGUAAGGCCCAGCAGGGGUAUCUGCCUGCUGCGCUCUGGUCAUGUGCCUUCCUCCUACGCGCUACAGGGGCUGAGAAUUUACUUCUGAUUUCCACACUGGAGAGGUGAUAAUCAUACUGUGAACAGAAGGAAGGGCAUACAAAGGGCAUGCUUUGGGAUGUAAUAGAUGUCCAUUACAAAGAGGGUUGACCUUUAGCCCCUACUCUCUUUUCUACCAACAUCUUGAAAGAGGCAAGGAUUUACUAGUCCUGAGUGUUGUGCAUAAUUAACCAAUACAGAAGGAAAUUAAUCCUGAAUAUUCGUUGGAAAGACUGAUGCUGAAGCUGAAGCUCCAAUACUUUGGCCACCUGAUGCAAAGAACUGAUUCACUGGAAAAGACCCUGAUGCUGGGAAAGAUAGAAGGCAGGAGGGGAAGAGGAUGACAGAGGAUGAGAUGGUUGGAUGGCAUUACUGACUCAAUGGACAUGAAUUUGAGCAAACUCUGGGAGAUGGUGAAGCACAGGGAAGCCUGGUAUGCUGCAGUCC
ensembl:lncRNA